rnacentral:lncRNA from 1 species
UUAUUUUUUUUCCUUUCAGACAAGAUCAGUUGUGUUCAGGGUGGUAUGGCCAUAGAUGGUUUCUUCUUUUCAAUUCAGACUAAUAAUCUUAAUUUUUAAAUUGAAGCAUUCAGUCUAUUUGUAUUUAAUGCAACUCCUGACAUAUUUCAAUGUAUUUACUUUUUUCUUAAUUAACCAGGCCAGUUUUGUGUUCUUUUUUGCUGUUUGGUAUUUAUAUUAUUUUGAUUUUAUAAAUGAGCAAUCCUUGACUUUGAGAGGUAAUACAAAUUAACUAAGUUCGUAUCCUGGUAAAUAGCAGAGUUCCUGAGGAAAGAAAACAGAAAACUGGCCAACAGGACAGUGUGGUAGAGGAGAAAGAGCUCUGGGAUUAGAAUCCAAAAUACCAGCUCCCCACUGAACUGCUGUGUGACUUUCUCCAGUCUACUUCCUUUUCUGAAAGUUAAGAGUGAUGAUACAUAUCCUACCAACCACUCUGAGUGGUUCAGUUCACAUGAGAAGUGAAAGUGCUUUGUGAAUUGGUUUUCCACAGGACUGGGCCCUGUUUGAGGGGUGGAAACAGGAGGUUGGUAGAGAGACCUGCCCAAGGUGACUGAAGAAAGGAUGGGGAGUCAUCACGUGAGGACAGGGAUUUGAGGGCAGGCAGCUCCCGCACAGCAGGCGGGCUCCAGAGGCAACUCAUGGAGUGUUGCACUUCUUUGUUUAUUUAUUUUUUCCUUAUUGCUAUUAAUCUAAAAUUGUUCACGUUUCUCUUUCAGAACACUUUUAGAUUGGAAAGAUUUUGAUCAUCUCAAAAGUCUUGGAUAUAAAAAUUCAGUCUGUGUGGCAGGGAACAGCUCACUCCUGACUGGUUGAAGAUAGGAGGUUGAAGAAAUAAAUGAACUUGAAGCAGACUUGAAGUUUCAUGCCUGAGAUCCUAAGGCCUCCCUAUUUCUGGAGACACAGUGGUAUUGAAAUUAGAUCAGCUAAUAACCCUACAAUGGCCUCUCAGUGUUCAAAUGAAAGGAAAAGUCGCACAUCUCCCACUUUA